rnacentral:rRNA from 1 species
UUGUUCGGAAUUACUGGGCGUAAAGGGCUCGUAGGCGGCCAACUAAGUCGGACGUGAAAUCCCUCGGCUUAACCGGGGAACUGCGUCCGAUACUGGAUGGCUUGAGUAUGGGAGAGGGAUGCGGAAUUCCAGGUGUAGCGGUGAAAUGCGUAGAUAUCUGGAGGAACACCGGUGGCGAAGGCGGCAUCCUGGACCAUUACUGACGCUGAGGAGCGAAAGCCAGGGGAGCAAACGGG